GUGCAUUUCAUAUAUAUAAUUUGGCACUCAAAUUUAGCAUCUAUCGUGAUAUAUCCAUCCAUUCUUGCUAUGAGUUGUGAUAUAUUUGAAUGAAAAUCAUAUAAAAGAUCAUUUACUUGUCAUUUGUUUAUUUUGCAGAAAAGUGCGAUAAGGCACUAUAAUCUUGAAGAUCUUGUCUACAAAGAAAGAGGAUACAAGACCGAGGGCUAAUAGAAUAGAAGGGGGGACUCGAGUAUGAAGAAUUAAAGAAAUGGAGGGCCAAAACUAAAGAAGAAAGGGAUCUACUUGAGGCUAAAGAAGAGAAGAAGGAGGGCAAAAGUGCAAAAAUGCAGAUCUGGGAGGGGAUCAAAAUCCCUAGCCGCAUCUCCAUUGCAAUCAGGCCUAGCACAUCUCUCUCCCCCAACCUCCUUCUCCACCUUCGGCCGCCACCACGGCUAGGCCGGCGUGGUGGCGCGCCAGCAGCCUCCAUCCACCAGCGCCCGCCAUCACCAGCGUCCACCAUCUCCAGUCACCGCCGCCAUCAGCACCAAGCGCUACAUUGCGCGACCCAUCAGACGGGCAUCUGGCUGCCCGUGCGACUCUCUCCUCCCUGUUGCUUCUUCUCCCACGCCCCUCCUGAUGCUCUUCUCCUUCCCUCGCUGCUCCUCUUCUCUUCCCCACGCCCAAAACUGCUGCUGCUCCUUCUCUCCACAUCCCUGCUGUUGCACUUCUCGUCUCUGAAUCUCCUUGCUGUUGCUCCUAUUCCGUGUUGCUCCUUCUCCUUGCACCUCCCUGCUAAUCUCCACGCCCCUGCUGCCUUCCUUCUUCUCCUCAACCUCCUCCUACUGCCUCCUCUCCCCUACCGCUGCUGCUCCCUCUUCUCCCUCAACGUCUAUAGCUGCUGCUCUCUCAACCCUCCUUGCUGCUUCCCUGCUUCUUCUCUGAAUCUCCCAAACGCCGAUGCUGCUACCUACUCUCUCCAGUGCCCCCUUGCUGCUCCUCACUCCCUGACGCUCUGCUUCUUUUGGGAGAUUAUUCAGAUUUGGGUUGUGUAAUAUUUUGCUGCUGCUCAUCACUUCUCUGUAACGUUUUGGGUUGUGUAAUAUUCAGAUUUAACUAGUGCAAGCAACUUGUUAUUUGUUCAGUUUGGUACUGGUAAAAUAUAUUGUUAAUUUGGGAGAUUAUUGAUUAUUAGAAAUGGCUUCGGUGUAUUAAUAUUCUGCUAGCAUAUGAAUGUAUUCACCCCUGUGUGUUUGUUCUCCCUGUACUAGUUAAUUUCUACUAGUAACUUUUAGUUGUUAAUUACUGUUGUGUUGAUCUGUGGGUACUAGUCUUGUGGUUUGUAUAAUCUCGUUCAUUUAUGUGUUGUCACUCGUGUACUGCUCUUAUUUCGAAUAAACUUCUUCAGUUUUGUGUAGUAUAUGUUUUAGCUCCAGUACUUGUGUUAUAAAGGACUCUGAUAUAAAUGCAUCUUCCUUUUCUUAUAUAUGUCUGCUAGAUAUAUUUGUGAUCAUCUCUUGUUACUUUCUUUCUGUCAAUGUGGAUGUCCUGUGUUCGUAUUUAGUUUCUAAAAUGAUAUGAAAAUACCAAAAAGAGAAAUAGAAGAUAAUCUUCAUCUCCCUUUGCCUCUGUGUCAUUCCCUUUGUUGAUGAUCUUAGUUAGUUUGUUGAUGAUCUUUGUGCUUCAUUUCCUUGUUGGUGUUAGUAUUAUUUUCUAUUUUCAUCACUCAAUAUCAUGUGACCUAGAUUUGGCCGAGCAUAGUCGCCGUCGCCUAGUCCCUGUGGAGAACAUGACACUCGCAGUUUGGGCGUAAAAUCCACUGUACUUACUAUUGAUCACACAGCCAGAGGACCACAACCGGUCCCUUGACCACGGAUUCAAAGAGAAUCCAGAUAUAUUCGUGGAGCUCGAGGAUGGAGUGUUCUACCAGGCGAGCCAUGACGGCACGGAAGUGGCCAUCAGUGCUAACUAUCCCGGCCUUCUUCCUGCCUCACAUGGGAGGUGAUCAGCAUGCCACGCUGCACCUGAGGCGACUCACAAGAAAGCGGUGCCUACACCGGGCAGGCCUUCGAAGAGGAAGGCAAAUAGAGGCAUGGUCGAGCCUUCAUCAAAGAGGAAAAACAUUCGCCGGACUAUGUCUAGGGAUCCUGCUGGUCAUGCCUCCACUAGCCAGAUUCUGGACCCUGUCUCAAGGACUGAGGCUGACGCGAGAGUGACACUGGAUUCUCCUUCUGCAGAGGAUUCGGAUGAUGUAUCCGUCACAAACUCUAAAGUGGAAAGCGCCAUGAAACAUUGGUGCCAGCGGGCCGCUCUUCGUGACCUCGGUUUUUCAGAAGAGGCUUUCAACGCCUUCAACUCGGGUGAUGCAUACAUCUGAGCUGCUCGAGAUGGGCUUACUAGAGCCACUGACCAAUAUUUGAAAGAUAUGCGGAGAAGAACAACCUAUUGUCUCAGGAGCUGGAAAAGUGUCGGACCCAGCUAGCCACUGCUACCGCCGAACUGCAGAAAUCCAAGAAGCCAGUGUCUGAGUCGUCAGAUCAUCCGGGAGAGGCACCAAAAGUCGCAUAGGCGGGAGGUCCAGAAGCUCAAAGGCAAUUGGCCGCGGGAAAACGUAUGCUGACAUGGGUCAGGGAGGAGAAAAACAAACUCCAGGAUUCCAACAACGAGCUGGGUGUAGAACUAAAAGAUGUUCGGGCCCAGCUGGCUGACUCCGUGAAAGAAAAUAAGUGGCUACAAGGCGGCAUAUUU